rnacentral:lncRNA from 14 species
GAAAAUGUCUUCAGAAGGACUUUUCAUUGUAACUACUGAAGCAGUACAGCAUCUGAGUUCUCUUUCUCUUCUGGAACAAAAGAAAAUUUCUUCAGUAAGUCUUUGCAGAACAUCCUUGAUGACUAGAAUCUUCAAGAGGAAACUAUGUGGUAAUGAAGCACAAUGACAGCAAGACUGGGGUUUAGACAAGAUCACAGACUGAGGCAUUAAAAGGUUUCAUUCUGGCAUUUCCUUGGCUGAGAAUGAGCACUUUUCUGUAGGAUCAUCCUGAACCAUGAAAUCCAGUGUGUCUUCAAUGUUAAAUUCCAAAUGUGGAAAAGAAUAAUUAGUUAAAAUUAUGUAAGAUUUUAACUUUUGGACACUAUUUCUUCAAGGCGUUAUCUUCACAAAUAUUUGUCGGCUUUAUACAAGAGAAAACAACUCUGCUUAUGAACACUUCUAUCUGGUUGCCUUCUUUUUUAUUUUAUGUCAAACAAGG